rnacentral:lncRNA from 1 species
AUAAAUAACCAAUAUUCAAAUGAGAACAGACAGAAAGUACACACAAUACUUCAAAUAACAACCAAAAUAAGUUAGUUACACGUAUAACUUAGAUAAAAUGGUAAUCACAGCUAGAAGCUCUACAAGUGUAACCACAACCACAAGCUCUACAUGUUUCUACAAGUGUACCACAAGCUCUACAAGUGCGCUUUGACAGCUUCAAGUGACCCUUCAUGACGGUAGGAAGAUGGUUUCUACCAGUCCCGAUUUAAGGAACACACCAGGCAUCACGGUCUUCCCGAUAGUGCUGACCAAGAUCUCAUCCUUCAUGGGCAUCAAAGUGAUGCAGCUGAAUGUGCCAGGAAAAGGAUUACCUGUCAACAGCCGAAUUUAUACAAGAUAUCAACCUUUCAGUGGUGCAGAAUAUCAUAGAGACACGUGCUUCAGCAUUACAGGGCAUGGAAACGAAAACACAUUUUUACAAAGGGCAUACAAUUAAGAAUUUACUAUCCCCAAAAUUAAAUUAGAAAAAACGAAAAAAACAAUGAAGUGUAAAAGAUGACAACCUUUGUGUUUCUACUUCCUACAAAUGACUAAGAUCCUCAAUAAUAUAGACCCGUUUGUUACAUACUGUACACGAUAUUAGGAGCAAAAUUCUAAUAAAUUCAUUACAGGCUUGCCAAUAAAAAUGACAAGUUACCUACAGACCAGGGAACAUAAAAUUGAGAGGUUGAGAUAAAGGUUUAUCAACUACAUCAUAUAUAUGCAUUAGAAACAAGCCCAUAUGGACAAAUGCAUCAUAAUUAUUAGUUGAAAGUAGGUGCUGCCUCAAAUUUAAAAACUCAACCAUUCAUCAUUAAGAGUAGCGAUUUAAUCUUACUAGACAUAGGGACAUGUACAACGUGAGAGCACACUACAGCCAGAACUUACACGCAAAGAUCCUGGAAUUUUAUGCACAACAACAGCUGAUUAGUCGCUUACUACCGUAGACGAGACGUCAUCCUCAACUACUAGCACACUACCUGCAUCAACCAGAAUAACUAGACUGAGAUUGCAUCAUGGAAACUAGAAUUGGCAAUCGAUUGUUCCACAGUAAUAGAAAAAAAAUACAUGGUCAGUACCUUGCCAUCGUGUUGAUUUGGGACAUCCUCCAUCUUAAAAACUGUCGUGCCAGGGAUGGUGGUGCCUAGUUUUCACUAUUUCUGUUCAUGCUUGCCUGUGCAAAAAAGCAAAAAUGAAUGGACUAUUUCCAUGACUUCUACGCUGAACCAGUUUUUCAUAUAUUUGCACGGGUGAAAAACUCAAGCAAAAGAAGAAAGCAUGCAUGCAAAUUAUUUCUCCCUUUUUAUCUACCUCUCUCUCUCUCCCUCUCUGUGAUUGCCUACACAAACACAUAUUAUUGCC